GUACCGGAGAAAGGUUGGAUUGUACAAGACUGCCGUAUGACCUCGUGCGGUUAACGGGGAGAAUACCGGCUCCACCCGUUGAAAGAGGAGCCCGUUCCCCGUGGAACAUGGUUGAGCUUACAACUGACACGUAAACUCACCCACCACGCCUUACUGAAGACUGUGCCAUACAACAGUUGGCACAAAAAGACCAGGUACUCUAUGCUGAAAGUGAUAUGUUAUUACUGUGUUCCAUUCCAGACUGUGUUCCAUUCCAGUGACAUCAGCCCCUCCAGCACAAGACUAUCACCACCACAUCAAAUGUCAGUGGAGACGAUGAUAAGACAUCAUGUCAUUACCCAGUUCCAACAGUAAUACCGCAGUCAAUCGGGGAUCGUGUCCAAUCGGGAGAAAUAAGGAAGUGUGUAAGGAGUCUCAGCCAACGGUGACCCAGGAGUCGGAACCUAUGACAGCUCAAAGGAUGAGCAUUACCUUAAAUUGAAAAGUGCAGGAUGGCUGCAGGACAGGAGUGGCCAGUGGGUAAAGGAUGAGAAUGUGGAGUUUGAAUCAGAUGAAGAGGAACCCUCUUCUCUCCCAUCCUCUCCCCCCACUGACUCAACAGAGGGCUGACCAGAUGAGCAGCAGUGACCAGACCUCAACACCACCACCUUCCCACAAUCCCUAGCCCUUUCCUCAAACCCUGCCGCUGACACAAAGAUCCCAUUUGAACAUACAUCUGUUGACUCAACAAUUAUGAAUGGCACUCUGUUGCGGUAAUGACAACACUAUAAGAGCAGCACUAGAACAUCUUGAACUGCCUCCAUGCUUCCUUUGUUUACCCUAUCUCAGGGUAGACGCAUUGGUGCUUGAGACAAUGCUUUAACUGUUGUCACCCUGCGAGGGGUGGGAAGGGGGAUGAUUCUCUGCACCCUUUGUGUUAUUCCGUUCGCCCAUUUUAUUUAGGUCCAACACCGCCCCUGUUAAAGGCUAAGCUGUGAGCUUACCAUUAAUCAUCAGCAGAUAGGACAAUAUUACUGCUAAUCUUGGUAGUGUAACCACCGGUUAACAUUCUUCAGAAGGUUCUCAUUUGUGGCUCACCCCAAGACCACUCUAUAUAUUGGAUAACCCCCCUCCCUCGAGAAAGGGAGCAUGCGGACUUAACGUGGGUUACUUUAAAAUGAGGCAAACUGAGUACCUGAUCAUUAUUUGUGAGCUCAUUGCGUGACUGCCACAAGACGUUUGGAAUGUUUGUUGACUGCAUCGACACAGGAGCUCAACUGUCUUAUGUGUCAUCAAGACUGAUGAUGUUAUGGAGUUAAAUUGUCAAUGCAAUAAGUCAUGUUGAUUCUAUCAUGUUACUUGUACUUUUAGAUGACUAAACAAAACAACUGUCCUCCAGUGCUAACAAUGUCUGUUUGAAUAACCCAGAUACAAGGGAGUAAAAUAAAGCACCACUUAACUUAGAACUUUAUACCAGGUCAGUCACUAAAUACCUUGCAUGGUACCCUACAUAACUAUAAAUACACAUGUAUUUUACUGUGGCUGAAUGAUCAAAGGGGAAUAAAUAACCCCAGGAAAAAACAUGUAUGGAAAUACUGACCUUAAGUCAUCACAAGCCUGGUCCCUGUGCCAUUUCUUUACAAGAAAUUCUGAAGGUUGCUUAAAUUGAGCAUGAUAAUCAAAACGCAUUGCUUAAUACAGGUAUAAAAUGAAUGUGUACAUGGAAAAUGGAGCCACUCCAAUGCUGUGAAAGUCCUCAGAGGUUAGCAGCUGUUUGGUGAGGGUUCAUGAAUCUCCUUGGGUGCAUAUGGGUGCCCCCUCCCCUUCAGACCCUUUAAAAGUUGGUAUAUUCUGAGCAGGGUUACUCAAGCCCAGAGGACUAGGUUACAUACCCAAUAGAGGGGGGUAAAAAUAGGUUGGGGUUGGGGCGAUCCGGCGGGCUCAAUGAGGUAUUGAGUAGUUACGAUUCUCAUGAUCUCGGUGCACUCAGUGUACUCUUGUAUCUGCUUUUAUCUUGUACCUUGUGUCAGCUCUGAAUUUUGAACCAUAGACAUUAUGAAUAUUAUGUAUGUUCACAUGAUGUGAUGAAAUGGCAAAAAUAUCACAUUCAGCCCAUUAAAACAAUUAUUUAAACGUUUA